CGCACCUUUCCCCUCCCCUCCCCAGGAAAUCUCCAAGCCCUAGGACCUCCCCCCCUGGCACACGGAGCCCGCCGCCGCCGCCGCCACUACGAGCCAGAGGGCUCCUCCCCUCCUCCGCCGCCUCCCAUGCCGCGCGAAUCCCGCCGCCGCGACGACAAACCAGGGGGCUCCUCUCCUCCUCCGCCGCCUCCCAUGCCGCGCGAACCCCGCCGCUGCGACGACAAACCAGGGGCUCCUCCCCUCCUCCGCCGCCUUCCAUGCCGCGCGAACGCCGCCGCGGCGACGACAGACCAGAGCGCUCCUCCCUUCCUUGCAUGCCGCUCGAGCGCCACCGCCCCGACCAGGGACACUCUUGGUUCCACUUUCGCCUCCCCAAUGGCCAGCAAAUCCGUGUCUACAAAGAUAGGCAGGGAGUUCUCUUCACCGACCAUUGUGGGCCGACACGACCCGUCGCAGAUGUCUGCAAUGAACUCUUCCCCGGCCUCAUCCGCGAUCCCCCACCGCCGGCCGCAGACCCUGAGUCCAAACGCCCCGAGGAAGAUCAAAAAACGCCCACUCCAAACCCGCAAUAUGUCGAUGAUCUGCUGAACAAAGCCUAUGCUGACCACAAACUGCAGCUGGCUCAAAGGCCUAAGGAGUUGCUUGACAGUACAACACUGGUGGAAUCAUCCAUCACUAAUGCUGCUUCUUCCUCUCUGCCAGAGUCACCAUCGUGCGAGGUGCCAGAUAUCUUGGAAUCGGAGCUCAACACUACCCCCUCAUUGUCUUCAUGUGUCUUUUCAUUGACGUCUACUGGUCUACUUAUUAAAUAUUUUGUCAGAGUUGAUAAGGAGGGACGUUUUCAUACAUAUCCUGAUCGCGGUGGGGACCCUUUCAGAGUUUGCAUGAAGCUCAACAAGCUAUUGACUCACAUCAUGUUGUUGAGCGAAAUAACUUGUGCAUGAAUGGACUUUCAUCUAGGGAGAAGUCUGUGCGGUAUGCUUUAUACUGGCCUCAUGAUGGCACAAGAAGAAAUUCUGCAGCAGCCUUUGCUGCCAUGAAGACCCGUCGCCCUAAACAGGAAGUUAUUAAAGCUCUACUGGACAAGUACAACGAGGACAAUGAUCUUUUAGGGGAUCUUGCAUAUCGACUAGAAGAAAUAGUGAGAUAUAAACCAUGUUUUGACGGGAAAGACUGUGAUUAUAGGUCAUAUUCACAUUUGAAUAUGACCAUAAAGACUAAAGGAGCCGAUGAUCCCCGCAAGAAGCUGUAUUUUGCUGAAGUCACUUGUAUGAGAGGCGAACAUGAAGAGUAUGUGCUCACCUGUAUCUGCGCAGUUGAACCUGAUGCCAAUGGUGAAUGCCUUGUGUGUGGAGAUCAAAUGAAGCACCCCAUUGAUGCUAAAUACAACCAUGGUCGCUCCACGCCAAUCUUUAGAUGUUGUUCCCAUGCAGAUGCAAAAGCCUUGGGUGACGAGUUAAUUACCGUGCAUGAUGAGGCUUGGCUGGAAAAGGAGGAAGCUAGGGUGAGACGAGUGUUUGAGGAAGUGGCUGAGGAUAUCAAGAAGGAGAAAGCGGCGAAACUGGCCGAGGCUAUCAAGGAGGAGAAAGCAGCGAAGCUGGCUAAGGCUAUCAAGGGGGAGAAUGCGUUAAAGGAAGUGAAUGAGGCUACGGAGGUGGGCACCAUAGGGCAUGGCCAUGCAAAGAGCGCCAAGUAUGUAGUACCGGCUAGACGAAAAUGAGUUGCUUCUCAAUUCAUGGUUACUGUCGAUGGUGUCUCUUUCUCUCUCUGCUGCACGUACGGAUGGUUGUGCAAUGCGAAUGCUCAACACACCCCUUAGCAGACACGCUUCAGCAUGCUUUUGCUCAAGGCCCAAGAGACCUGCAGAGAUGACCACAUAUGAGAAUCCUUGGCUGAAAUCGCCGAAAUGUCUGGCUGAAACUAGUUAUACUAAAAAGAGGUCAACGGAGGGAGCAUAUAGGAAAAAGAGGUCAAACAUGCACACCAGCGGUAGGUGGAUUUGUCACACUUCUCCACUUAUCUCCCGCCUGCCCCUCUCGUACGGGUGCUCAGCGUACUCUUUUAUCUCCUUUCCUUGCAUACCACUGUGGUCGACGCAGCAUCCUACCAUGAAAUCUUCAACGCCAUCGGUCUGCAAGCAUCACCGUUGUUGGCUAGAACUGGCAGCCCGGCAAGAUCCGGCUAAAUUUCAUGUUUUAACCCUUUUUGUGUACUUUAGCUGGAUCUGACCCGGUUAGAUUUUUUUUCCAGAAUUU